rnacentral:rRNA from 1 species
GAUGAACGCUGGCGGCGUGCCUAAUACAUGCAAGUCGAGCGAACAGACGAGGAGCUUGCUCCUCUGACGUUAGCGGCGGACGGGUGAGUAACACGUGGAUAACCUACCUAUAAGACUGGGAUAACUUCGGGAAACCGGAGCUAAUACCGGAUAAUAUAUUGAACCGCAUGGUUCAAUAGUGAAAGACGGUUUUGCUGUCACUUAUAGAUGGAUCCGCGCCGCAUUAGCUAGUUGGUAAGGUAACGGCUUACCAAGGCGACGAUGCGUAGCCGACCUGAGAGGGGUGUCCGCCCAACUGGGAACGGGACCCGGGCCCGGCCACCUCGGGGGGGAGCCGGAGGGGAUUCUCCGGCAAGGGGGGAAAGCCGGACGGAGCACCCCGGGGGGAGGAAUAAAGUUUUUGGGAUCGAAAACCUUUUUUAUGGGGAAAAAAAAAAUGUGAAAGUAACAAUGCCCUUCUUGACGGUACCUAAUAAGAAACCCACGGCAAACUCCGUC